UACGAACUGUGCGAACGUUGUUCGGAAUUACUGGGCGUAAAGCGUGCGCAGGCGGCUUCUCAAGUCAGGGGUGAAAGCCCAGAGCUCAACUCUGGAAUUGCCUUUGAGACUGAGAGGCUUGAGUACGGGAGAGGUGAGUGGAAUUCCCAGUGUAGAGGUGAAAUUCGUAGAUAUUGGGAAGAACACCAGUGGCGAAGGCGGCUCACUGGACCGUAACUGACGCUCAUGCACGACAGCGUGGGGAUCAAACAGG
rnacentral:rRNA from 1 species